GAGUUUGAUCCUGGCUCAGGAUGAACGCUGGCGGCGUGCCUAAUACAUGCAAGUCGAGCGAACAGACGAGGAGCUUGCUCCUCUGACGUUAGCGGCGGACGGGUGAGUAACACGUGGAUAACCUACCUAUAAGACUGGGAUAACUUCGGGAAACCGGAGCUAAUACCGAAUAAUAUAUUGAACCGCAUGGUUCAAUAGUGAAAAACGGUUUUGCUGUCACUUAUAGAUGGAUCCGCGCCGCAUUAGCUAGUUGGUAGGGUAACGGCUUACCAAGGCGACGAUGCGUAGCCGACCUGAGAGGGUGAUCGGCCACACUGGAACUGAGACACGGUCCAGACUCCUACGGGAGGCAGCAGUAGGGAAUCUUCCGCAAUGGGCGAAAGCCUGACGGAGCAACGCCGCGUGAGUGAUGAAGGUCUUCGGAUCGUAAAACUCUGUUAUUAGGGAAGAACAAAUGUGUAAGUAACUAUGCACGUCUUGACGGUACCUAAUCAGAAAGCCACGGCUAACUACGUGCCAGCCGCCG
rnacentral:rRNA from 1 species